rnacentral:rRNA from 1 species
UAAGGUGGUUAUUGCGUCGGGGCUCACCUCUUACCUUUCCGAACAGAGAAGUUAAGCCCGAUUGCGCAGAUGGUACUGCAGUAAUGUGGGAGAGUAUGUCGCCGCCUUCUUUUAUUAAGAGGUUAUCUGAAAAGAUAACCUCUUUUUUUUGUUAUUGGUACGGCGUGUUCGCGAGCUCGGUUCGCCGCCUUCUUUUAAUGAGUUCUGAUCAAAAUCAGAACUCAUUUUUUU